rnacentral:rRNA from 1 species
UACGUAGGUGGCAAGCGUUGUCCGGAAUUAUUGGGCGUAAAGCGCGCGCAGGCGGUCCUUUAAGUCUGAUGUGAAAGCCCACAGCUCAACCGUGGAGGGUCAUUGGAAACUGGAGGACUUGAGUACAGAAGAGGAAAGCGGAAUUCCACGUGUAGCGGUGAAAUGCGUAGAGAUGUGGAGGAACACCAGUGGCGAAGGCGGCUUUCUGGUCUGUAACUGACGCUGAGGCGCGAAAGCGUGGGGAGCAAACAGG